rnacentral:tRNA from 1 species
UUAGCUGAAACCAAAGGGAGGUAUAUUAUUGUUAAUAAUAAAAAUGAAUAAACUAAUUCCAGCUAAA